rnacentral:lncRNA from 1 species
GCGCAAUAUCAAUCUGAUAACUAAAUAUAAAAUGAACGGAGGCAAAUAUUAUAUAUGAAAACAUAAUUCGUUGAGUAAGCUACACAACUAUCAAAGUAACAUAAAUAGAUGACGCUCGUUUUAUUAUAAACAAUGUAAAUUUCACACCAGCAAACAACAUAAAAUAUACAAAAUAAAACUUGCUAUAUAAUUUGCAAGUGACAAACAAGUAGAAAACUCAACAAUUAGUUUACUUGAAAAUAAUUAGACAUCAAAACACGA